ACUGUCCACGCAGGAUCUGGGCCUUGCCCACUGAAGGCUGGCUUUAAAGCUGCCAGUCCAGAGUCCUGCCCACGGAGGGGCUGAGCUGGAUUUCUCACUCUAGUUGCAGUAAACUUUCCUGCCCCUUCACGUGUUCCUCCCAGCAAGGCUGAGACGACCCAAACUCCGGCUGCCCGAGGAGAGGGACCGCGGGGCCGCCCGACCCUUCGUCACCGAGCGGGAUCGCCGCCCUCCAGGCCGCCCACCUCCAAUGCUCCGGGCGGCGCAGCCCGCGCCUCUGCAGACCCGGGACGAAAGCGGGCGUGGGGCGCUCAGGGGGAGCAGCGCGCGCCUAUCCGCCGGCCCGCCCCCACCCCCGCACGACGUCACCCGGAUCACUCUUUUUUGACUGUGUGUCAGUAAUGCCAAUCUCCGUGAUGAAGCCCAGGCACGAAGGAGAAAGCCGUAUUGUGUGCCAGCACUGGGCCCUACACGUUCUGCAUCUUACCUUCACGAAAACACUCUGAGGUGGCUCAGCCUGCCAGAACAAAAGUAAAACCACAGAGAGAAGAUUUAGAUCAGCCUCUUGAUCGCCCUGCUGCUACUUUACAGUUUUAGGAGGGGUUGAACAUCAAGCACUUGAAACUGUCAUCUACACAUUCCUUCUCAGAAUAAAGCAGCAUUAGCAUGUA